AUCCCAUGAUGAGGAUACUACACAGUAACUCCUUGAAUCGCUCCUAAGCCUCAUACAAAGACUUGUCAUCCAAUCGUUGGAAGGUUGUGAUCUCAUUGCUCAACUU
rfam:Gossypium arboreum cultivar AKA8401 contig_31659_5, whole genome shotgun sequence.